UAUCUCUACAAGCCCUAGCCGCGUUCUGGCUGCGUCCCUGUUUUGUUUGCUCCGAUAUUUUUCGAUUACCAAAUCCAAGACCUGAUAUCCCUCAAAACUCUAAAUCUGUCACCUGAACUCCAUGGUCUCUUUUUAUUGAAAUCGUUAGGGAAUUUUAUGUGUUGAUGGAGGGCUGCUUUGGACGGGCAGAUGAGGAAUCUCUUAUUUAAAUGGGUAAUUUGCGUCUGAAUUAUUCCAUUGAUGUUAUCACCUUGGAGAUCUGAUGCCCUGAUCUUAUUGCUUUAUCCAUUUUUUCUACAUUUUUUUAUCCGGUGGAUGAUUGCUUGUAAUUUAAACUCCUUUUAGUUAGAGAGUCUGAGAUUGGUCCAUGGGGGACACGGAAGAGUUGGUGAGGGGAUGAUUAUGACUAGUUUCCCUAUUGGUUUGAUAGCCGGGAUGAUGGCUUUCAUUGUAUUAGCUCUAUCUGAUCACAACUCUUCUUUGCCCUCCCAUUGUCAUUUUUAUUUAUUAAAUCUUUUUGUUAAAUUAGUUUUUUUUAAUAUAUUUAUGAAGAAGGUUUGGUAAGUUUUAUGAUAAUGGUUUAUUGAGUUAUAUUUUUUUUGCUUUGAAACUUUUAAAAAGCUUACUAUUUUUUUUUGGAUGCAAGUGGUGGAAGGAAUACCUUCCUCCAAAUUUUAUUUAAAAAACUGGUAGUUUUCGUUAAGAUUUAUUUACUUUCAUGCGACUGGCCUUUGUUUUAGGAUAUAAUCUUUUUUAUUUAUUUAAGUUUUAAUUGAAUGAGAGAUUGGAAAGAGGAAAGAGGGAUGAAACAAAAUUUAUGUUUCUGUUCGAACUAUUAAGGAGAGAAAUCGAGAGAAGAAAGUUGAACAGAAACAUCUCCCUGCAUCAUGAAGAGAUUUUUUUUUUUUUUUGAAGAUUUGGAGAGAAAGGAAAGGAACUCUUCCCUCACAAAAGAAAGAAAAGGGACGUUAGUUUCUCUAACAAGAGAAAAGAAAUUUAUUGGAAAAGAAAAAGGAACUCUCUCCUUGUCAGGAUGAACAUGAGAAAAGAGAGAGGAAAUUAUAUUUAAUCCUGAUCAGUAUUUUGUGGGCAGAUGAGGAAUCUCAUAUUUAAAUGGGUAGUUUGCAUCUGAAUUGUUCCAUUGAUGUUAUCACCAGUCACCUUGGAGAUCUGAUGCCCUGAUCUUAUUGUUUUAUCCAUUUUUUUACAUUUUUUUAUUCGGUGGAUUAUUGACUGUAGUUUAAACUCCUUUUAAUUAUAGAGUUUGAGAUUGGUUCAUGGAGGGCAAGGAAGAGUCGGUGAGAGGAUGAUUAUGACUAGUUUCCCUAUUGGUUUGAUAGCCGGGAUGAUGGCUUUUAUUGUAUUAGCUCUGUCUGAUUACAUCUCUUCUUUGCCUUCCUAUUGUCAUUUUUAUUUAUUAAAUCUUUUGGUUAAAUUAGUUUUUUUUUAUUUAUUAAUGUUUUUGAAGCAUAAGCUAUAUAUACAAAAAGAAAUUCUGAUUUAAAACAUAAUCAGUUUUUUAAUUUGCUAAGAAAUAUCAAUCAAUGGGUUGAUUAGAGCAAAUGGUUGGUGAUGCUGAGGAUGAAACUGGCACACAUUAAGUAUCGGAAACAGAAAGAGAAGGCUAAGAGAAGCUUAUAUGAAUUAUCAAAGUUAGGUCAUGAAAUCAAUCUCCCCUCUUCAGAACAUGUUUGUGUUCGGGUGUCGUGAACUGAAGAAGCUUCCAUUCCAUGCACAGCAUGCAAACAACGAAAAGUUGCAGAUAUGGUGGCUUCAAGAACAUUAGAAUCUCUAAAACGUCUUCCUUCAAGGAAUGGAGAAAAGUUGCAGAUAUGGUGGCUUCAAGAACAUUAGAAUCUCCAAAACGUCAUCCUUCAAGGAAUGGAAGAAGGUUUGAUUCAUUUGGCAACCACAACUGCAACUUUCAUGUACUUGCAUUGUGUUAUGUGGCGCAUGACGCUCACCCUGGAGUGGAUCCAAUGGCCCUUCUGAAUUGUGAUGCAUUGAUAUAUUUCAUGUCCCCUUGGUGUGUAUUACAGGGGAUAUUCAGCAGAGGAUUCUGUUUAGCAAGCAAUGAGAAAGGAGUUAUUCUUUCUUUUUUCUUUUUUUUUUCUUGUUUUCUUUCUCUUUGAUUCUAAGGGAUGUAAAAUCCAUCUGAAUUCUAUAAAUAGAAAAAACGAAAUUUAAAAUUAUAAGCUCA